CAGCCGCACGGGAACACGAAGGGGGCUAGCGUUGCUCGGAAUGACUGGGCGUAAAGGGCGCGUAGGCGGCGGCCAAAGUCAGGCGUGAAAUUCCCGGGCUCAACCUGGGGGCUGCGUUUGAUACUUGGUUGCUUGAGUGGGGAAGAGGGUCGUGGAAUUCCCAGUGUAGAGGUGAAAUUCGUAGAUAUUGGGAAGAACACCGGUGGCGAAGGCGGCGACCUGGUCCUUUACUGACGCUGAGGCGCGAAAGCGUGGGGAGCAAACAGGAUUAGAUACCCCCGUAGUCCCUGUCUCUUAUACA
rnacentral:rRNA from 1 species